UGUGUCAUAUAUUACAUAUUAAAAACAAUACAACCAACUAGGUAAAAUAAUCAAAAGUUGUUAUUUCUUUAGUCCUCUCGUCAUUGGAAUUAAACGUACAUCUCUUUCAGAUUUGCAAGACAAAAUCAGGAGUGUACGUGGUAGCCGCGUUGGUCUGAGACAAGAAGACAUAUAAAAACCUAGAACUCUUGGUUCCAAAAUGAUACCUUUUAUUAGACCAACGGGAAAACCGCAAGAAAAUGGACAAGCAAGCUUUCUUGGGCAUCUUGACAGUGCAUCCAAUGCUUCACUGAAAGUUAUUUCCACACCUGAGUUAAUGUUCACCUGAGUUAAUGUUUCCACACCUGAGCUAAUGUUUUUAGCUAGAGUUAAAAACAACCUUCAGGGCUAUAAAGUAGGAGUUACGUUACCUGGAGCUGCUGCAGACAACAGAAUUGUAAAAGAGGCUAUCUUGAUUAGUGGAACAUUAAGACCAGUGAUAAAGAAGAGAUGGUUAUUACCACCGAUGGAGCGCAGGGUUUAGAAGGAAUCAGGUAGAUUACAACGAGCCAUGAAAUCAAGUGACUCCGAUCAAUGCUGCCUCAAUAGAAAUGCUGCUGCCUUUGCCGGUUGUUGGUUUUAAACAUCAGACCUGAAACUAACAGUUCUGCCCUCCCUCUGCAUCUCCCACAACAGCAGGCUAAAAGAGCUUGAGGCUUCAUUUUCCUCCAAGAGCAAGACAGUUUCUCUCUCAAUAAACACUUUGAAACUGGGAUGCAAUGCAAGUGAAAGAUCUACAGGGCUGUUCCUUACUCAGGUCAUCUGUUGCGAGUUGCCUGUAAGGGCAUGAUCAGAAACAGCAGUUCUGCCAGCAGAGGAACCCACGCAGGAGUAACCAAGACUCUAGAGAUCAGAAAGAAAUGCAGAACCUGGACAUAUGCACUGGGGACAAUUAUAAAUAGUCUCUCUAUGCAUUAGAUGUACAAACCAGAUAUCCCCUAGUCCCUGAUCUCCAAUGAGCAAUUCCAGCACUAUUCUAGCAUUGGUUGGUUCAUGACCUCGAGGGCCGGCUUUAUGAUUUAUCAUUGUUAAAUAUGUGUAAGCUACCUAGUGCACCGGUAGGUGAGUGCCGCUUAGUCUGAAAAUGAAAGGCUCGAACAUCUGUUUACUACUUCCUGAGCGAUUCUGCAAUUCUCCUGAAGACAAUAUAUGGCCUCUCCUUAUAAUUUAGAAAGGGAAACAACAGCGAUCUGAAAUCUAGUCCAUUGAAAAAAAUGGGUUUACUACCCCUGAGUUCCUCUGACAAUUUCUUUUGUGUUACAACCACAUUUACCUAUUCUUGCUUUUCUCUCUCCUGUUGCUGUUUGAAAGAUCCAUGCAAACAAGUAGGAGAAACCGGAACGGAUGUACUCAAAGUAAUAUAUACACAGAAAUAUAUCAUCUCUUUCCAUUAAAAUUCUUAUAAUCUGC